rnacentral:rRNA from 1 species
UAGGGAAUCUUCGGCAAUGGGGGGAACCCUGACCGAGCAACGCCGCGUGAGUGAAGAAGGUUUUCGGAUCGUAAAGCUCUGUUGUUAAGGAAGAACGAGUGUGAGAAUGGAAAGUUCAUACUGUGACGGUACUUAACCAGAAAGGGACGGCUAACUACGUGCCAGCAGCCGCGGUAAUACGUAGGUCCCGAGCGUUGUCCGGAUUUAUUGGGCGUAAAGCGAGCGCAGGCGGUUAGAUAAGUCUGAAGUUAAAGGCAGUGGCUCAACCAUUGUAGGCUUUGGAAACUGUUUAACUUGAGUGCAGAAGGGGAGAGUGGAAUUCCAUGUGUAGCGGUGAAAUGCGUAGAUAUAUGGAGGAACACCGGUGGCGAAAGCGGCUCCCUGGUCUGUAACUGACGCUGAGGCUCGAAAGCGUGGGGAGCGAACAGGAUUAGAUACCCUGGUAGUCCACGCCGUAAACGAUGAGUGCUAGGUAUUAGGUCCUUUCCGGGACUUAGUGCCGCAGCUAACGCAUUAAGCACUCCGCCUGGGGAGUACGACCGCAAGGUUUG